UUGGGAUUUGUAAGCUUAACUGUCUGGAGCAUGAAAACAUGGAAGGCUAUGGUAUGCCCUUGUUUGUCCCACAAAUUGUACAUUACUGUAGGAAGUCAAUUUGUCUGACUGACAGCUAUUAUGUCUUAAUAUUUCUCAACUUUAUUGAAGACAGUCCUUCCCCUUGGUGAAGAUCCUCCGGCAAUUACUUCCUUAUGCUUCAAUCAUAACGGGAAGAUUUUAGCAGCUGCUGCAACUGAUGGAAUGAUUCAUAUGUUCGGUAUCCUUAUAGUAUUUUAUGUUUAUAGCUGGGGGGAGGGAGGGGGGAUUAAACAUUUCUACUUUGAAAGGAAACUUGUCCCCAAUCUCAUGCUGCACACAAGACAUGCGCAACAAAUGUAUACAUCUUAAUUUGGCAAAGAUAUGUCUGCCGGACUACAAAUUACUGGGUGGCCGGCUCAUGAUUCUGCUAUUAGCUCUGUUCUUUUUGGGCCUGAUGAGACAAGUAUUUUUAGCUUGGGGAUAGAUGGAAAGGCAAGUGCCUCUGUUUCCUCUGAUUUUUAGCUUGAGUUAGGGUCAUGCAUAAAAAGCACUUUCUACCUUAUUCUUUUAAAUUUUGUUAUUUGUUUUAGCUAGCUUGUUGGAUUAUAUUCUUAUGCUUAGCCAUAUAUGUGUAAUCUCACCAAAUUAGCUUCUACUUCAGAUAUUUGAAUGGAUCUUGCAAAACCAAGGUAAAAUUCUUUGGUCAAGAAAUUGCAGCAGGUUCUGUAAUCGUGAUAACUCUGAACAUAGACAUGAAAUGGCUUUAGAUGCUAAUGGGAAGAGACUGCUGGCAACAUCUGGUUCAGUGAGAGCACCCAUCUAUCAGGGGUAGUCUAUACCGCCUCAUCCAUAGGGCAGAUGCUGGUGAAGUUUACCUUGUUGACGCGUACGACAAAGAGAGAUUUGCAGAGGCCAGAAAGGAGUUGGAUG